UCAUAUGCUUGUCUCAAAGAUUAAGCCAUGCAUGCCUAAGUAUAAGCUCUUGCACAGUGAAACCACGAAUGGCUCAUUAAAUCAGCUAUUGUUCAUUAGAUCAUACCCGUUACAUGGAUAACUGUAGUAAUUCUAGAGCUAAUACAUGCCUUGAUGCCGUGACCCGUGAGGGAAUCGGUGCACUUAUUAGAACAAGACCAACCGGGUGACCAUGCUUUCGGGUGUGGCUGCCUGUUGUGUCGUGUUGACUCUGGAUAAUUACGACAGAUCGCAAUCGGCCUUGUUGUCGGCGACAAUUCUUUCAAAUGUCUGCCCUAUCAACUUACGAUGGUAGGCGACCUGCCUACCAUGGUGAUAACGGGUAACGGGGAAUCAGGGUUCGAUUCCGGAGAGGGAGCCUGAGAAACGGCUACCACAUCCAAGGAAGGCAGCAGGCGCGCAAAUUACCCACUCCCGGCACGGGGAGGUGGUGACGAAAAAUAACGAUGCGGGACUCGUACGAGGCUCCGUAAUCGGAAUGAGUACACUCUAAAUCCUUUAACGAGGAUCAAUUGGAGGGCAAGUCUGGUGCCAGCAGCCGCGGUAAUUCCAGCUCCAAUAGCGUAUAUUAAAGUUGCUGCAGUUAAAAAGUUCGUAGUUGRAUCUUGACGGCACUGCUGCGUGUUUUAGUCUCGCCUAUUUGUUGUUUUGUUGCACGUUAAUUCGUCUUCAAUUACAUGAGUAUGGUGUGCACUYGGACAUGUUGGCGGUGUAGUCUUUCAGCCGUGUCUGUUGCCCAUGUGCUUGUAACGAGUGCAUGGGUGCAGGUACUGAUGGUCAGGAGGGAUAAUCCCAAAUUUCCGUUGGUACGUCUCGGGAUGCUCUUAAUUGAGCCGUUUCGAGUGCGGACGGCAUGUUUACUUUGAACAAAUUUGAGUGCUCAAAGCAGGCCCACGUGCCUGAAAAGUCUUGCAUGGAAUAAUGGAAUAGGACUUCGGUUCUAUUUUGUUGGUUUUCGGUUCCGAAGUAAUGGUUAAGAGAGACAGACGGGGGCAUUUGUAUGGCGGUGUUAGAGGUGAAAUUCAUGGAUCGCCGCCAGACAACCUGAAGCGAAAGCAUUUGCCAGGAAUGUUUUCAUUGACAAAGAGCGAAAGUCAGAGGUUCGAAGACGAUCAGAUACCGUCCUAGUUCUGACCAUAAACGAUGCCAACUGACGAUCCGCGGAGGUUGUACAUAUCGUCCCCGCGGGCAGUCUCCGGGAAACCUGUAAGUCUUUGGGUUCCGGGGGAAGUAUGGUUGCAAAGCUGAAACUUAAAGGAAUUGACGGAAGGGCACCACCAGGAGUGGAGCCUGCGGCUUAAUUUGACUCAACACGGGAAAACUCACCCGGCCCGGACACUGUGAGGAUUGACAGAUUGAUAGCUCUUUCUUGAUCCAGUGGUUGGUGGUGCAUGGCCGUUCUUAGUUGGUGGAGCGAUUUGUCUGGUUAAUUCCGAUAACGAACGAGACUCUGGCCUGCUAAAUAGUACAUCUGUAAUUCGUGUCUGCUUAAAGUCUCUUGUCUGCAGAUGCCUUUAACGAGGUGUUUGUAUGGCAGGUUUCUUUGGUGGUCGCUGUGCAGAUGAAACUUCUUAGAGGGACAAGCUUCCUAAAUAGCACGAAAUUAAGCAAUAACAGGUCUGUAAUNCCCUUAGAUGUCCGGGGCCGCACNNNNNCUACAAUGACAGUACCAGUGUGUAUGAAGACCUUGCCUGAGAAGCUUUGGCAAACCGGUCCAUUACUGUCGUGACAGGGAUCGGGGUUUGUAAUUAUCCCCCGUGAACGAGGAAUUCCCAGUAAGUGCAAGUCAUAAGCUUGUGCUGAUUACGUCCCUGCCCUUUGUACACACCGCCCGUCGCUACUACCGAUUGAAUGGUUUGGCAAGGCUUCGGAUUGGCACCAGUGUUUUGGAUUUGUCAGUGUAAACUGGCAAGUCUAUUCAACGGGAGCUGAGAAGAGGACCAAACUUGAUCAUUUAGAGGAAGUAAAA
rnacentral:rRNA from 1 species